rnacentral:tRNA from 1 species
ACAUCGGUAGCACAGUGGUCAGGGAAAUUGUGUCUGCGCGAAACAGAAAGAUGCGGGUUCAGUUCCCGUCCGAUGUC